rnacentral:lncRNA from 1 species
AGUACCAGCAGUGCCCCAGUCCCCAUAGUCUCCUGUUUCAGUCGUUAAAAGGCGAUUUUGACUCUCCCUUUGUAGAAAUCAUACAGCUUCUGUAUCUGAUCAGAAGGUCAACAACACAAUCAUCUGAUGUUAGGCUAGAGGUAAGAACAGCCGGCUCUGGGGUUCCCGGAGGAAGGAAUUGCCAAUCUCGCCUGAAAGAACUGGUGUGAAGCCACUGGCGGAGUAUCCAGGGGCCGAGGGCUGAUGCAUUUCUCCUCAUCCACCUCACUCUGACCCCGGAUGCCAGUUAACCCAGGAGAGGUCCCUGAACACAACCCCGAUGCAAGCAAAGGUGGUGGACAAUACGGAGGAGGAUGAAGAGGCAUGGUCCACCACAACAGGUUGCCCAGAGAGGCUGUAGAGAGUUUAAAAGGAAGGAGUGAGAGGGAUCACCAGACCAUGAAGCAUGGAAAUUAAGGCUCAAGAAGGUGACUUGCCCAAGACUUCAUAGCCCACAACUGCUGGAGGUGGGAUUUGAACUCGUCUGCGAGGUUCGAAAUCACCCCAGCCCAGUGCCUGCUCCUGACAGAGACUCAGCAAGUGCAGCUCUGCGUGUUUCCUCCAUCACAGAGGCCUGCUUAGGGGAAAAAUCUUGCUGAAGAAAAGUGGCCGAUGGUUUCGAGAGAAGAGACGCUUAUUCAUGUAAUUCUCAAGAAUCCCAUCUCCGGCUUAGAAGGACACCUUUUCUGAUUUCCCAUUCAAAGGGACUGACGUACACUCAGGGGCUGAGGCAGCAGCUGUUUUUGCUGUGCACAGACUGGAGAGCGAUGUGUGAGUGAAGUCUGUGGCCACUUCUCUCCUCCCCCGAGCCUUCUGGGGUUUGGGUUUAUGACUCCAGAGGCGGAGAAGCGUGUUCCCUUUCUGUGCGGAUCCCGUCAUUGACAGAGUCUGUUUUAGAAGAGCAUUUUUAGAUGGCAGCGAACGUUCCAGACCCCAAAGCAUUCUCUUUACAGCACCGUCUAGCUUGGGUGGGGAUAGGGUGGGUUUGUGAACACGUGUGUGCGUGAGAGUGUGAGUGUGUGCAAGUGUGUGCACGUGUGUGUCAGUCCCUCUGUCUGGCUCCCACUGCUAGCCACCUCUGUCAUAUCCUGACUAUUUCGCCGGGGCAUCGUCCAGCCAUAGGAAUCUUCAGCAAACCUACAGUUCAGACGAACGCCCUCGUUUCUGCCCUGAGAAGAAAGUCCGUUGAGUCUGAGGGCUCCCGAGUCAUUCUCUCAAGGCAUUCAUUCAGUUUUGUUUCCCCUGGUGCUACCCUCUCUGAAGUCGUUAUUACUCAUUAGGUGUAUUGCACAUACAGAAAAAGUAGGUCAAGGAUUAAAAAAAAAAAGAAAAAACAUCUCUGGGAGAAGCACAAGUAUUGUGUAAAGCUAUUUUGAACUUGCGUGAGAUUUUUCAAGGGGGAAAUGUUUUGUGCAGAGACGGCUGCUGCCACAGCUGACUUACCAAUGAAUGCCCGUGUCUGAGCCUUUCAUACGCUAACCACGUGACCUUGGAAUUCCAUUUUGAAAUGAUAAUUGUGCCCAGUGGGGUGAGCAGCCUCUCAAUCCAGGUUCUAUACAAUAUAGGUCACCUCGAGGAUCCUCAGUAGAACAGGAACAAGAGAAUCCUGAGAAAUCUCUGUAAAGAAACAGAAAGAAUGAGAGAGAAAACUGUGUGUCUAACCACCGGGCCCCUGGGCCCUAUGUGCCACCCAGGUUUGGAGCAAGGCUGCGGGGCAGAUGAUGUCCAGGAGAGCCUCAGAAAGUCCGGGCUCUAGAAAAAAAUACGUUCCAGCUCACUCUGCUCUGACCCUGCAUCUGCUCUGUGCUGAAAGCUUUGUUGCUGCCAUGAAUAUAUUUAAGGGGAAUAAAAUGUGCAGUGUCAAAGCGACUGGCUUGAAGUGGGCUGGAUGCAUCCUAGGCUCCGCGAGGGAAAAGGCCUCUAGCUGGCAGUUGACAGAAGGGGGAAGGCAGUGAGGAGUGGGCCCACCCACGGGAGUCUGGGCAUGAGGCGGGUCCUGGUUCCCAGGCUGCCCCGUGGGAAUAUGCUCCAUGGGCUGGGGCUGCUGUGCUGGCUGCUCUUGCCCCCAGGGGGUCACUACGCUGGGCUUCUCCAUCAGGGCUAUCACGAUAUUGCCCAGGGUUUACAGGUUUACAGGCAUUAUCUCACUCAGUGUUGUUUUGCUCCCUUUCACAAAGAAAGGAAGGAAAAGAGAGGCAGGGGGUGAGAGAGGAAGCCAGACUAGCAUUCAGCUCUGCUAGUUGUUCCUCGCCUGGGUUAGGCUUCCCUGGAAAGUAGCCUGCAUUGUCUUGCACCUCCUUCAUCUGACAGCCAGGUGCUCCUACUGGAGCAUAACUGUAGUAGGCCAUUUCUGUGCCAGUUGACUGAGAAGGCAGUGUCCCUGCUUUUCUGGAAACUUCCACACAACACAAUUCCCGAUGGAAAGCAUUUAACAAUUAUGGGUGGGGCUCUGAUCAAAAAGUAAGCUUUAGAAAAGGUUAACAGCUAAGCUGGGCAUGGUGGCUCACACCUGUAAUCCCAGCACUUUAGGAGGCCGAGGCGUGCAGAUCACCUGAGGUCAGGAGUUCGAGACCAACCUGGCCAUCGUGGCAAAACUCUGUCUCUACUAAAAAUACAAACAACAACAACAACAAAAGAAAAAAAAAUUAGCCGAUCAUGGUGGCAGGCACAAGCCUGUAAUCCCAGCUACUUAGAAGGCUGAGGCAGGAGAAUCGUUUGAACCUGGGAGGUGGAGGUUGCAGUGAGCCGAGAUUGUACUACAGCACUCCAGCCUGGGCAAAAGAGUGAGACGCUCUCUCAAAUUAAAAAACAACAAAAAAAGGUAACAGCAAGUGGUUACAACCCAUGAAUCUUUAAUCAUUUUAAAUAGUAAAAGUGUUUGGAAACUCUUAUAAUAUUAGAGCUAAAACACACCUUAGGGAUGAUUUAAGGCACUUUUUCAAACGAUAAACAAGAUCCAGAUAAUUACGUCAAAUAUUUAUAGUAACCCAUCUUAUUGGUGCCAGUUUGAGAAUAGAACCCACAUUUGCAAAUAAUCUCAACACCUUCUGUUUCACCUCACUUUUCAAAGGUCCUUGAGAAGGGUAUUUGCACACUGCCUGCAAGGUAGCUGCAAUGGCUAUAAAGCUAUUGCGUAGAUAGAAUUCCAAUUGCGUAGAUAGAAUUCUACUCUAUCUGUGUUAACCUAGCUAAAAUUAAUGUGCUGUGAUAAAACUCACCAACUAAACAUG